GUGCUCACUUCUGCAGCACAUAUACUAAAAUUGGAAUGAUACAGAGAAGAUUAGCAUGGGCCCUGCACAUAGAUGACACGCAAAUUCGUGACGUGUUCCAUAUUUUU
rnacentral:snRNA from 1 species